rnacentral:rRNA from 1 species
UAUGUGAUCGUCUCUCGCAUAUCAAUAAGCGGAGGAAAAGAAACUAACAAGGAUUCCCCUAGUAACGGCGAGUGAAGCGGGAAGAGCUCAAAUUUGAAAUCUUAAAGGGUUUCCCUUUACGAAUUGUAGUUUAAGGAAGUGUUUUCUGUUGAGGUUUCGGUAAAAGUUCUUUGGAAUAGGACAUCAUAGAGGGUGAGAAUCCCGUAUUUGACCUUUACUUUCAACUUUGUGAUACACUUUCAAAGAGUCGGAUUGUUUGGGAAUGCAGUCCAAAAUGGGUGGUAAAUUUCAUCUAAAGCUAAAUAUUGGCGAGAGACCGAUAGCGAACAAGUACCGUGAGGGAAAGAUGAAAAGAACUUUGAAAAGAGAGUUAAACAGUACGUGAAAUUGUCAAAAGGGAAGCGUUUGACACCAGUGUUGUUUUUCUGAAAAUCAAUUAAAGAACUGUUUAUGCUAAGUUGUUUAGACUUUAUCAGCUAACUGUUUAGUUUUGAGCUUUUCUUUAAUGCACUUUUCAGUUAACAAGUCAACAUCAAUUUCUUUUGCUGUAAAAAAGCUUGAGGAAGGUGGCUUGAGAUUCGUCUUAAGUGUUUAUAGCCUCUUGCCUAUGCAGUCGGAGAGAUUGAGGUCUGCAGCGUAGAUCCUUCGGGGCUAAAUGCAUUUGUGCUAAGUUAUAGCAUUUUAUAGACAACUUGUUGACUAUGAUUUGUCUUGUAGCUUACUCGCUUAUGUUAUUUUACCUACGCUUAGGAUGUUGAUCUACAGAGCGAGAGU